CCAAAGGCCCUUCUCAGGGCCGCCCAUCUGCUCUGAAAAAGGCGUU
rfam:Neotoma lepida isolate 417 scaffold_5831, whole genome shotgun sequence.